rnacentral:rRNA from 1 species
CCUACGGGAGGCAGCAGUGAGGAAUAUUGGUCAAUGGACGAGAGUCUGAACCAGCCAAGUAGCGUGAAGGAUGACUACCCUAUGGGUUGUAAACUUCUUUUAUAUGGGAAUAAAAUGUUCCACGUGUGGGAUUUUGUAUGUACCAUAUGAAUAAGGAUCGGCUAACUCCGUGCCAGCAGCCGCGGUAAUACGGAGGAUCCGAGCGUUAUCCGGUUUUAUUGGGUUUAAAGGGAGAGUAGGUGGAUUGUUAAGUCAGUUGUGAAAGUGUGCGGCGCAACCGUAAAAUUGCAGUUGAAACUGGCAGUCGUGAGUACAGUAGAGGUGGGCGGAAUUCGUGGUGUAGCGGUGAAAUGCUUAGAUAUCACGAAGAACUCCGAUUGCGAAGGCAGCUCACUGGACUGCAACUGACACUGAGGCUCGAAAGUGUGGGUAUCAAACAGGAUUAGAUACCCCUGUAGUC